rfam:Aedes albopictus isolate Foshan contig100428, whole genome shotgun sequence.
UAGCCUAGUGGUUAAAGCUAUGGACCGCCAAUCCGGAAACGGCGGGUUCGAUUCCCGC